rnacentral:rRNA from 1 species
UACAGAGGGUGCAAGCGUUAUCCGGAAUUACUGGGUUUAAAGGGUGCGUAGGCGGGAUUAUAAGUCAGAGGUGAAAGGUAGUCGCUUAACGAUUAAAUUGCCUUUGAUACUGUAGUUCUUGAAUCAAGAUGAGGUUGGCGGAAUGAGACAUGUAGCGGUGAAAUGCAUAGAUAUGUCUUAGAACACCGAUUGCGAAGGCAGCUGACUGGACUUUGAUUGACGCUGAGGCACGAAAGCGUGGGGAUCAAACAGG